rnacentral:rRNA from 1 species
AUUGAACGCUGGCGGCAUGCUUUACACAUGCAAGUCGAACGGUAACAGGCCGCAAGGUGCUGACGAGUGGCGAACGGGUGAGUAAUGCAUCGGAACGUGCCCAGUCGUGGGGGAUAACGCAGCGAAAGCUGCGCUAAUACCGCAUACGAUCUAUGGAUGAAAGCGGGGGACCGUAAGGCAUCGCGCGAUUGGAGCGGCCGAUGUCAGAUUAGGUAGUUGGUGGGGUAAAGGCCUACCAAGCCAACGAUCUGUAGCUGGUCUGAGAGGACGACCAGCCACACUGGGACUGAGACACGGCCCAGACUCCUACGGGAGGCAGCAGUGGGGAAUUUUGGACAAUGGGCGCAAGCCUGAUCCAGCAAUGCCGCGUGCAGGAAGAAGGCCUUCGGGUUGUAAACUGCUUUUGUACGGAACGAAACGGUCUGGGUUAAUACCCUGGACUAAUGACGGUACCGUAAGAAUAAGCACCGGCUAACUACGUGCCAGCCGCCGCGGUAACAC